GGAAAAUUAAAAGAUGGCAACUCUAGUGUUCUACUUGACUGCCGGCAACAAGAGAGAUAAACCAUCGAGAUUAGCUAAGGAAUAAUCUAAUUAUGCCCUUAAAAAGAAAAUAACAUUUGUAGAUAGAGAUUAAACUAAACUAGUCAAAAGUAAAACGAAAAGAGUAGAAAUUUCUCAAGUUACAAGAGGAAACGAAGGAAAGAUAAAAAAGAAAAGAAAAAAAAAAAAAAGGAAAAAUAAGUAUAUACGGUGAAUUUUCAUUUAACGUUGGACAUGGAGGGUGUGUGUAUCCAUGAUGGAGGAGAAGAGGGAUCCCGUUAGGACGACUCUCGAAAGCUUCAUAGAGGGAAAGGAUUUUCGUUUCGAAGUAGAAUGAAAUAUAAAGCUCGUCGUGGAACUGGACGUGUACGUAUGUGCGUGUGCGUAUAUGCCUGCCCUGUUCUGGGUGCCUGGCUGCGUAGGUGCACGCGCGCGCGCACUCGUGCAUGCGUGCGUAAACCAUAGGGUGGUGGUAGAGGAGGGUGAAAGGGAGGAAACAGAGGGACAGAGGAGACGCUUCGUAGACGUAAGCGAGAGAACGAACGGUAGAUGAUGAGGUAGAAGGAGGGUGAGAGAGACGCGAGGAAAACGAGGGCUGCCAGAAGGUACAGUGGAGAGGGGGUUGAAGAGCAGGGAGUAGGGAGAGGACUCUGCACCGCGACGCUACGGGGUGGUUGCCCUCGUCUGCGCUUUGUGGGAAAUGCCCGCUCAAUAACGCGUAGGUCCUCGUCUGCCCCUUCUCACCCUCGGAGUCAUCACGGCAAGGGCCACUGCCCCAAAAGGCACGGCUACACCCGUCGAUUUAUCCUACCUCCUUUCCUUCCUUUUCUUUUCUUUCCUUUCCUUUCCUUUUCUUUCCUUUCCUUCCAUCUUUUCCACCCUCAACUUUCUUUCCUUCUUCGACAGAGCUUUGACUGCUACCUACCUACUACUACCUAUUACCUAUCUAUCUACCUACCUACCUAUCUACCUACCUACCUCCCUCAGUCUUCGUUUAUCCGUUUCUAUCGAACAAAUCGCUCCCUCAAUGCGUUCGAAAAGGUCGUACCCUGCCCUUUCCCUUUCCCUUUCUCUCUUUUACUUGCUUGCUUGCUUUCUUUCUUUCCUUCCUUCCUUCCU